UCAACCCUUCAACAUCUUAGUUAUAGUUUUAAAUUCAGUCUGAUUAUUCCAGCAUCCCUGUCAUAUCUGUGUCUGGUUCUAAUGCUUCUUAUGUCUCUUUAAACUGUGUUCCCUGCCUUUCAGUGUGCCUUGUCACUUUUUGUUGAAAGCUAAACAUGAUCUACUGGAUAAAAGAAAAUGUGGUAAAUAAGCCUUCAGUAAUGUAGCCAUAGGUGUGGGAGGAAGGAAGCAUUCCAGUGUCCUAAGAUUAGGUCCUAGGCUUUCAGGAAGUCUGUGCCCCUGUGAACCUCACAAGUGCUUCUUGGUUUUUCCUUUUCCACCCUCUUAGGUUUAUAGGAUUGUUAGAGGAGACCACAGUUGAGGAGACCAGGUCGGUUAAACUUUGAUAAGACCCUAGCAUGUUAGAUUCUGGAAAGAUAGUUUAUUCUCUUGAGGGCUGCCCUUUUUAAGAAGAGCAGAAUGCACUGGCAUAUUUCAAAAUGGUUACUUGUCUCCAUCUCAUGUUAGGAACCUGAUGGGAUGUUUUUUCUCUGAUUUUCACUGUAAGAACCAUAGAGCUCCUGGAGGUAAAUCUUACAAAGCAUUGGGGGGCUCCCCCACAACUGGGUCCCCUUGAAAUCAUUCUCUUUCAGAAUUGCCCACAUUGAUCCUCUAGCAAUUUGUCAAUUGCAGUUUAGUUUUUCCCACCCGGAACUUGUUCCCACGGAGGUGGGUUUCUUCUGUAACUUGUGGUUCUCUGUAUCUGCCUGUCUGUCUCUCUAGCUUGGGGGCAGACAUUUAACCUCAGUCCUACGCAGGAUCUAAGAAGAGUUGUUGAUUUUUCAAUUUGUUCAACUCUUUAUUUGUUAUUAUGAGGCAGUGAUCACUUCUAAGCUCCUUAUAUGCUGGAUCAGAAAUCAGAAGUCCUUGGAAGGUUUCUUUAAAUGAUGCCAGCUGGGGCCCACACAGGUUCUGAUUUAAUUGGCCUGGCCUGGGGUGGGACCCAAGGGUUUC
rnacentral:lncRNA from 1 species